rnacentral:lncRNA from 1 species
UCUACAGGUGUGUGUAUGUCUUCUCUCUCAGCGUGUGUGUAUGUCUUCUCCGGGGGUGUAUGUCUCUUUCUCAGGUGUGUGUAUAUGUCUUCUCUCUCAGGGUGUGUAUGUCUUAGUCUCUCAGGUGGUGUAGGUCUUCUCUCUCAGGUGUGUGUAUGUCUUCUCUCUCCGGUGUGUGAUGUUUCUCUCCAAGGCUGUUGUGUAUGUCUUCUCUCUCAGGUGUAUGUCUUCUCUCUCAGGUGUGUGUAUGUCUUCUCUCUCAGGUGUAUGUCUUUCCUCUCAGGUGUGUGGAUGUGUGUCUUCUUCUCUCGGGUGUAUGUCUUCUUCCCGGUGGUGUAUGUCCUCUCUCCCAGGUGUGUGUAUGUCUU